AUUGGGCCAGUUGAAUGAUCAAUUGAGAUGGUUAUGGUUAAGGAAGGAAAACUAAAUUUCAAUUAGUAUAACAGGGUAAUUGCAUUUGAAUCGAGUAAUACUAAGUACUAUAAGAUACUUCCUAAAUUGUGAAGUAAAUGUAGAAGUUCAUGGAACCAAAUUGGGGCUGCAAUUGAGGUCUGGGUGCUAUCCUGGUGAGAUCUAAAUGCUGAAAAUUCAGCAUGAACUAGAAUUUCAGCAUCAUGCUGAAAUUCAGAUUGAGUUGAAAUCCUUAAACCUUAUGGAUUCUUGGUUCUUGUUUAUGGAAGCCCAAAGUUGAUAAAGAGUGUAUAGAAGUGAUAGUAUAUACCUGUAUAUAAGUACCUUGGAAUAGAAAUGCAAAUUUGUUAAGAGCCGAAUGUAAUUAUAGUUUAACCUCUCUUAGUUAUAUCUAUAUGAAAGUUAAACUUGCUCGAAAGUCUAAAUUGACAUUCCGACAGGUCGGCGACGCACUAAUUACGGUAGAAGCCAAGUCGGCUCUAUUUGCAUUGAGUCGCGUGAUAUUGUUGUUUGCACAGUUCGAGACGUGGAUUCUAGUUGUUAGCAUCCCUACAGGUGGGUGGUGCUAUCCGAAGUCUUUGAAUCACCUUUUAUGUCUAUGAUUAUUCAUUGAGCAUAUUUAUAUUUGUAAUCAUGUAUUAUAGGGUGUUCGGCAUUGUGCAAGCGAAAAUGUAAAUUCCUAUCAACAAUGAGAACUUGUGAACCUUAAAAUGUGGACAUAGAACCCUAUGAAUGUAUGGACUAUAACAAUAGUGAACUUGGUGACAUUCUAAUUAGAGAAUUGGAUAGUAUUGAGAAAUAAAACAGUGAGACUAGCAAAAAGAGCUAGUUAGAGUAAACUGUGACAUUGGCUAUUAUUGAAUCCUCUAAAGGAGGAUCAGAUCUUACUCACAUAGUUUGUUUUUGGCUUGGUGGUGGUCGCUCCCCCCAGGCAGUGCGCUCCGGAGUGGUCACUUGAUGGGCUAAAGUAUUUGCCCUUGGACUAAAGUAUCUGUCCAGCAGACGGUCCCGUCGGGAGGCAGCUUAGGGCCCGCCAGGGAUUGAGUUGACCUAGUGGGUGAGUCGGCGAGGUCGGCGGCCGAACCCACUGGGAACUUUUAGUAGUUCUCACACCACUAACCAUACAGGUUCCAGUGCGAGUGUUGUGGCCGAGGAUCGAGGCAAGGGCCCUGCAGCCUAGCUAGCAGACACCAGAGUAUAGUUGUUUACCAUUUUGAGUUCAUGUAUCAUCUAUUUUGAUGUAUAGAGACAUGUAAAUGAAUGUGUAUUAAAGAGCAUGUAAAUAACUAAAUGUUUUCAUAUUCAGUUAUGUAAAGUUCAAAUUGAAAGUAUUAAAUUACAGUGAAUUUCAUGUAUAGCUAGAUUACUAUCA